AAACUGUGUUGUGGGCAUGAAUUGACAAGAUCCUUAAACCUUUUCCAACGUUAGAAGAAUGUUUCACCCUCCUUUUGGGGGAAGUUUAUGAUUGAUUUUCUAAGGGU